rnacentral:rRNA from 1 species
GAUGAACGCUGGCGGCGUGCCUAAUACAUGCAAGUCGAGCGAACAGAUGAGGAGCUUGCUCCUCUGACGUUAGCGGCGGACGGGUGAGUAACACGUGGAUAACCUACCUAUAAGACUGGGAUAACUUCGGGAAACCGGAGCUAAUACCGGAUAAUAUAUUGAACCGCAUUGUUCAAUAGUGAAAGACGGUUUUGCUGUCACUUAUAGAUGGAUCCGCGCCGCAUUAGCUAGUUGGUAAGGUAACGGCUUACCAAGGCAACGAUGCGUAGCCGACCUGAGAGGGUGAUCGGCCACACUGGAGCUGAGACACGGUCCAGACGCCUACGGGAGGCAGCAGUAGGGAAUCUUCCGCAAUGGGCGAAAGCCUGACGGAGCAACGCCGCGUGAGUGAUGAAGGUCUUCGGAUCGUAAAACUCUGUUAUUAGGGAAGAACAAAUGUGUAAGUAACUAUGCACGUCUUGACGGUACCUAAUCAGAAAGCCACGGCUAACUACGUG